rnacentral:lncRNA from 1 species
CGUGGCUUUGGGAACAGUUGGGUCAGCUAAUAACAACUGAACGGCUGAACUGCCUGGGAAGCCUGUAUGGUAGGCAAGUUGAAGGGGGCCAGUAGCGUGGCACUGCUGACCUGCAGCGGGUCACAAUGGUAGUCAGCGGUCUCCAUGGUAAUGUCUCUGAGCCAUGAGGUCGGAACUGUGGGAUUAAUGACAUCCCACGACUGGAGCAACCAUAGUGCUGAGAACAGCUUUGACUACGGUGGUUCCGGGAAGAAACUUUUCCAGGACCUAUGUAUGGGUACAGCUGUUUCCCCUGAUCAGUAUCCUUGCAGCACCCAAGAUUAAAUCUGGAGUCUUACUUACCUUCUAAAGGUUCACCAAUCCAUUUAUUGUCAAACCAGCAGGGAAAGGAAAUUCCUAAGCAAGGAACACUGCUCAGAAAGUACUGUACCAUGUCUCCAAAUCCCUGAGAAUCAAUUCUGGAAAACUGGAAGCAACGGAGAGCACUAUAAGGUAACUGAUUUUCACUUGAGUUCCUAAAUCUAAGUGAACAAAGUACUCAGGACACCUGAGUUAGUUUUAUUAUUUUAUUCUCUGGGAAAGCACUGUCCAAUAAAAAUAUAACAUGAACAAAUGCA